UCAAUCAGUAAUAAAUAAAUAAAUAUAAUAAUAAUAAAACGGCAAAUAAUAAAAACUUAAGAAACCACAUAUAGUUGGUGGGUAGACAAAUGAUUUUUUUCGGAUUAAAAUGAACAAAGCAUUAUUAGAGCCCUGUAGACAUGACAAAACACGACUAUAGUCACAUUUAUACUCUUUUUUAAUUUACAACAUAUUGCGCAACUGCAGGGUCUUGAGACACAUGCUAACUCGCAAACGAGAGAGCUAGCGACCUAAACGGUAAGCCUUCAAGUUAUUUCCUUUCAACUUAAAUAGCCAAAAACUUACCACUUCCACACAGAUAGGGAGGAUAACUAUUAACAGUUUUUUAACCUUUAACAUGAACAUUAAUCAAAAGUAAUAAUUUUUUCUGGGUACAUGAUACCAUUUUUUAAAUGCUAAUCGCCGCCAAAAAGCAAAUAUACACAUAUAUUUUUUAAUGACUUUAAUACGGUGGAAAAUGUAAAACUAAUAAUAUUAUAAAGAGGGGGCAAAACUCAGGUGGAACCUUUGUCUCGGGAGCUGUUUUGCCAGGAUCGAAUUGGGGUCGUGGACUUCCGCCAACGCUCAGACCAAGAAGUUGCACUUCCGUGUCCUCACUGCUGAGGACGACUCAUAUCUCUUCUUACAGGAAUGGUGAUGGAGCCUAUCCCAGUUUCAGUCUUCAUGUGAGAGAGCUUCACCAUGGACUGAUCACCAGCCAAUCACAGAACACCCCACCAUCAAUCACACUUGUGUACGGUUCAGGAUGUUGAGAAGGCCUCACAGGAAACAGGGUGUGUAAAGUGGAAGGUGCUUGUCACUGCCGUACUUCCAUACGGAAGAAAAGCCAUCAAAAAGCCAUCAAUUAAAGAUGGAUAUUUCUGCUCUACUGAAUGAACGAAUGAAUUUGACUGCCCAAAUGGAGGAUUACAGACCCAGGUAUCAGAAUAAAAGAAGCCGCUCAGAAGCUAUUCGUGUACUCACAACAAGCGUCUCGACCCAUUGGAAGUCGAUGGAGAAACCAACCUGUUGGUUGCAAUCCUCACGGUGGAGGUGGGACCGCAUCAGGGAUCAAGUCCGAGCCCCCUUCUUGUUUGCUAUGGUGACGGACAGGCUGACAGAUGAGGUUAGACAAGAUUCUCCAUAGACUACGAUGGUAAUGGGUCGCGGGGGUGCUGGAGCCUAUCCCAGCUGUCUUCAGGGCGAGAGGCGGGGUACACCCUGGACUGGUGGCCAGCCAAUCACAGGGCACAUAUAGACAAACAACCAUUCAUACUCAUGAGGAAUUAUUUAUUAUUUAUUAUUAUUUUUGUUAUUAAUGAUGAUGUAUUAUUAUCAUUUAUUAUGAUUUAGUAUGAUUUAUUGUUUAUUAAUAUUUAUUAUUAUUUGUUAUUAUUGUGUUAUUAAUUAUGAGUUAUGAUUUAUUAUUGUUUAUUAUGAUUUAUUAUUAUUUAUUGUUGUUUAUUAUGAUGUAUUAUUAUUUAUUAUUACUAUUAUUGUUAUUAUUGUUAUUAUUGUUAUUAUUAAUUAUUAUUAUUUAUUUUUUGUGUGUGCUCCGGCAACUAAAAGAGUCCUUUGAACCUCGUCGGCGCGUCGGGAAGUGAAUACUCCAUCAACAGCGGCGUGCUGGAAAACCAGCGACCGGGUCGGCGGAAUCCUAGAUAAACAUAGUGGAGAUGCUGCCCGCUGUCAACAGGCACAUUCAUAGGCAGACAAUGGCGCUCUGAUCAGAACAAUGAUUAUCUGGGUCUUCUGCCCCCCCCCCCCCCCCCCCACCCCCACCCCCCUGUCAUUGGCAGCCCACUUUCUCCUAUCCCUAUCAUUUUAAUUAAUUGUGUGAUAUUUCCAGAAGUCUGGCUUGUAUGGAAGCCUAAUGAGAGAGCUCAUCAAAAGACACACAAGCCGGCUGGCAUGAUGUAGUGUACUUUUUAGCCUUCAAGCCAAUUACUUGCUUUUCUUCGUUUCUCAUCAUCAUAGCGUCCGGAACCACACACACAAUAAAAAAAUAAAUAAAAAAAAAAUCCUAGUUUGCCCAAGCAAAACUCGAUUUGGUGUUUUUUUUUUUUCUUUCAUUUAGUUCUUCCUUUGAGGUAAGAUUUUUUUUAUUUUUUUUUAUUUGUUUGUUUCCGCUGUUUUUGAUCUUGCGUACUGAUAGCCAUCUCAAUGACUUUAAUCAGCCAUCCAUCAAUGUGACAAUGCUGUGAAAAAUAAAGGUUUCCAGGCGCGAGCUAAUUAAUCUGCCUGCGCCUGUCUGCCCCGCACUGCUCAAUCAUGGGAGUAAAUAAAGGCAGUCAUGAAUGUAAUUGUUUGUUUUCUGUGCAUAGUUUUUUUGGGGGGGGCACCUUUUCAAGCCAAGGAGCUGUGGAAGUUGACCUUUCUCUUUCAUUUGCCAAAAGGUAUUGCACAAAAGCCAAUGAGGCAGCUGCAUACAUAAAUGUCAGCUUCCUGCAACGGUACGCUUAUGUAUGUGCAAUAUGCAUAAAAUGACAAUUCCUAUUCACAGGCUCUCUACAUCUGCGGUAGGAACAGAAGAUGGGGGUCCAGGAUGGUCAUGAGCGGUUCAUUGACUUGACUCCUUUGGAGUCCCUUCGCUCUGUCGUGGUAAUAAAUCAUGCAUUAUAUAAAUCAUGAGUGGUUGAACUACUAUAUGGUGCAUUUUUUGUAGCAUAAACAUGGAUAAAUGAACUAAACAAACAAAUAUCAA